AGGCUGUAAUGGCUUCAUGGUGGAACUGUUAACCUUGAGAAUUCUGACAUGGGAUCAAUUCCCAACGGUCAGACACAUGUCACUAACCGUCUUUGAGCGGUGAAGUUGCGUCCGCGUAGCUGUGCUGUGUUCGAUGGUAUUUCAGUCGUUUUAGCAAGAUGUGUCCCGGUUAAAAUUUAAUCGAUCCUUGCGGGAGUUGUCCGAUAUCGGUCGGCAUGAGAAGUCUGUCGUAUCGUACGGUACAGCAAUGUAAUCAAUUGUGUUCUUCCCCUCAAAAGGAAGGUGCUGCUCUUACCGUUAUUAGGGGAGUUUCAUCCAGCAAUGACAAGAGCUACCCGUAAUGGAGGCGGUCGGGAUUGCACUGUCUGCUUCGUGGUCAGUUCUCUGAUCCACAUCGACUGCCGUGAAAUUAUCUCUUCUCGUCUAACGGGAUAUGGGGUUAUUCUUCAGGAACCACCGCAUU
rnacentral:SRP_RNA from 1 species